CCAGUCUAAGGCUGUGGGAUGCUAAGUGUUCAAGAUUAUGUCUUCCUUCUCUUGGGAGUGGGAGGUACCAGAUAGGCAGCCUGGGCCGGACACUCACCUUCCACCUCCGGGUGCUUCAGCAGCAGCAAGAAUCCAUAGCGUAGCGUGGAGCUCACAGUCUCCGUGCCAGCAAAGAAGAGGUUCAGGGUGGGCGUACUCAUCUCGAUGAAAGCCGAGUUGAUCAUCUGCAGCAGAUUCAAGAACUGCUUGUCCUCGUAGUCGAAGCGACUUCCGAACACAACAGAACUGAUAACAUUGGAGACGGUGCGGCUCAGGAAGAAGUAGAUAUUUUGAACACUUGUCAUAUGCCUCAAGUGCUGAGACACAGCGAUGAACGAGACAACGUGGUGGCCCUUCACAAAGUUGACACUGAGAACACUCUUUCCAGUGGCUGAUUGGUACUCACCUAGGAGCAGCUCAACUUGGAAGCCAGCUGCUCCGGUAAGCUCUUCCUCACAGACCCACCGAGGUUAGUCAGUGUUUCCUAUUUUGUGCUCACCAAACCCCCUUUAGAGCACUUAUCAUGAUUACGAUUAAUUAUAGUAAUCCUCGCACCUGUGAGCAUUUAUUUUUGUGCCAGGCUGUUCUCCCCAUGUUAAAU